AUUGAACGCUGGCGGCAUGCCUUACACAUGCAAGUCGGACGGUAACAGGUCUUCGGAUGCUGACGAGUGGCGAACGGGUGAGUAAUGCAUCGGAACGUGCCCAGUAGUGGGGGAUAGCCCGGCGAAAGCCGGAUUAAUACCGCAUACGACCUGAGGGUGAAAGGGGGGGAUCGCAAGACCUCUCGCUAUUGGAGCGGCCGAUGUCAGAUUAGCUAGUUGGUGGGGUAAAGGCCUACCAAGGCAACGAUCUGUAGUUGGUCUGAGAGGACGACCAGCCACACUGGGACUGAGACACGGCCCAGACUCCUACGGGAGGCAGCAGUGGGGAAUUUUGGACAAUGGGCGCAAGCCUGAUCCAGCAAUGCCGCGUGCAGGAAGAAGGCCUUCGGGUUGUAAACUGCUUUUGUCAGGGAAGAAAUCUUCUGGGCUAAUACCCCGGGAGGAUGACGGUACCUGAAGAAUAAGCACCGGCUAACUACGUGCCAGCCGCCGCGGUAACAC
rnacentral:rRNA from 1 species